rnacentral:rRNA from 1 species
GUGGGGAAUAUUGGGCAAUGGGGGAAACCCUGACCCAGCAACGCCGCGUGAAGGAAGAAGGCUUUCGGGUUGUAAACUUCUUUUAUGAGGGACGAAGAAGUGACGGUACCUCAUGAAUAAGCCACGGCUAACUACGUGCCAGCAGCCGCGGUAAUACGUAGGUGGCAAGCGUUGUCCGGAUUUACUGGGUGUAAAGGGCGCGUAGGCGGGAUAGCAAGUCAGGUGUGAAAUCCGGGGGCUUAACCCUCGAACUGCACUUGAAACUGUUAUUCUUGAGUGAUGGAGAGGCAAGCGGAAUUCCUAGUGUAGCGGUGAAAUGCGUAGAUAUUAGGAGGAACACCAGUGGCGAAGGCGGCUUGCUGGACAUUAACUGACGCUGAGGCGCGAAAGCGUGGGGAGCAAACAGGAUUAGAAACCCUGGUAGUCC